rnacentral:rRNA from 1 species
AUUGAACGCUGGCGGCAGGCCUAACACAUGCAAGUCGAACGAGUGGCGGACGGGUGAGCAAUUGCUGGGAAAGUGCCUGAUGGAGGGGGAUAACUACUGGAAACGGUAGCUAAUACCGCAUACCAUGCGAUGUGCCCAGAUGGGAUUAGCUUGUCGGUGGGGUAACGGCUCACCAAGGCGACGCUCCCUUGGUGGUCUGAGAGGAUGACCAGCCACACUGGAACUGAGAAACGGUCCAGACCCCCACGGGAGGGAGCAGUGGGGAAUAUUGCACAAUGGGCGCAAGGCUGAUGCAGCCAUGCCGCGGGUAUGAAGAAGGCCUUCGGGUUGUAAAGUACUUGCAGCGGGGAGGCGGUACCCGAAGAAGAAGCACCGGCUAACUCCGUGCCAGCAGCCGCGGUAAUUC